GGAGCGGGUGGUGGCUGGAGGAAGUUCUCUCUGACUGAGUCUAUUUCCUCAGUAAAAUCAAAGCAAGAUUAGCAGCCGUGAGGAAGGGCGCGGGAGGAGGUGUUGGGGACGACAAGAGAGAAGAUGUCGAACGGUCCUUUAGAGGAGUGGAACGGAAUUCACUCGGGAAGUGCAGUAGGACUUGGGCUUGGUUUCAGGAGUUUGUUGAGAGGAGACAGCCAGGCGGUGUGCUUCUUCCGCCACGUGCAGCCAGGUGGACGCAGGUGAGGGCGGGCGGGAGAGUUGUAUUUACCCAGCUUGCAAUGUGCAGGUGCACACACUGAUGGGUGCGGGUGCAAGGGAGUUGAGGCCGAGUCAUUAAAAUGAUGGAGCCUGGACUUUAAGCUGCGGAAGGAGGGACAGGACGGCCACAGGGAUGGGUGAUGCAAUCCAUGAAUAAUUAACUCCCUGUGGGGGGCCAACUGCUGCGUUUGGAGUAUUGACUUUCUUUUUAAAAUUUCAGCCGUCUUAUUCCCCCCCCCCCAAGGGCACCGACUCUCCGAUUCUCCUCCUCUUCCGUCCUCAAUACUUCUGUCGUCGUUUUCACAGGUGGAAUAUCUUCUAACAUCUUCAAGGAGUUUAUCUGUCAGGGAGGCCUGGCGGCCGGAGGAUUUGGAUUUCCAAGCAGCUCCACGCACAGAGUGCUGUCCACCAAACACUGUAUUUCGUGCUUCGUUCGUGCCACACCCCGGGGACGUUUCCGAAGAGAAGGACAACUUUGCAGCCCUUUGGAGUGACUGCCUCUCAUUCUCACGUCCCAGCUCUUGGUGGUUCCUGCAUUGAAUUCUCACAACCUGUGAUGUCGACAUUAGUCUCCCAUUUUUCAGAUGAGGCAGUUGAGUCUUAGAGAGAUGAAGUGACUUACCGAUAUCAUCUAGAUAGAUGGGACAGAAUUCGGUUUGGCCCUGAUCUGCCUUCAAAGCCCAGGCCCCACCUUGGAGAGAGAAGCAGUCAAAGCCCCUUGUCUCUUGAUCGUCUUUCACAUCUUCCAGACAGCUCUGCCUUGGGAUCGUCCUCUGCAGGCCAAGUGGCUCUGGUCAAAUCUUCUCCAAUGAGGAAUUACCUAUCCUAACAAGACAGGGACCUGGGUCUCCCGGCGGCCAGUGAGGUGAUUUUCUGCAUUCCUCCUCACUUUCUCCUGUGCAGCUUUGUCAUCAGGGGAUCUGGAUCACAUUAUCC